rnacentral:rRNA from 1 species
GGUCUCCGUAGGUGAACCUGCGGAGGGAUCAUUACACAAAUAUGAAGGCGGGCUGGAAUCUCUCGGGGUUACAGCCUUGCUGAAUUAUUCACCCUUGUCUUUUGCGUACUUCUUGUUUCCUUGGUGGGUUCGCCCACCACUAGGACAAACAUAAACCUUUUGUAAUUGCAAUCAGCGUCAGUAACAAAUUAAUAAUUACAACUUUCAACAACGGAUCUCUUGGUUCUGGCAUCGAUGAAGAACGCAGCGAAAUGCGAUAAGUAGUGUGAAUUGCAGAAUUCAGUGAAUCAUCGAAUCUUUGAACGCACAUUGCGCCCUUUGGUAUUCCAAAGGGCAUGCCUGUUCGAGCGUCAUUUGUACCCUCAAGCUUUGCUUGGUGUUGGGCGUCUUGUCUCUAGCUUUGCUGGAGACUCGCCUUAAAGUAAUUGGCAGCCGGCCUACUGGUUUCGGAGCGCAGCACAAGUCGCACUCUCUAUCAGCAAAGGUCUAGCAUCCAUUAAGCCUUUUUUCAACUUUUGACCUCGGAUCAGGUAGGGAUACCCGCUGAACUUAAGCAU